rnacentral:rRNA from 1 species
GACAGAGGCCUCGAGCGUUAGGCGGAAUCACUGGGCUUAAAGCGUGUGUAGGCGGAUCGUUAAGUGCCUUGUGAAAUCCCACGGCUUAACUGUGGAACGGCUGGGCAUACUGGCGGUCUUGAGCCAUCUAGGGGCGACUGGAACAAACGGUGGAGCGGUGAAAUGCGUAGAUAUCGGGAGGAACACCAGUGGCGAAGGCGGCCUUCUGGACCAAUACUGACGCUCAUGCACGAAAGCGUGGGGAGCAAACAGG